UAAACGCUGGCGGCAUGCCUAAUACAUGCAAGUCGAACGCACCAGCAAUGGUGAGUGGCGAACGGGUGAGUAACACGUAAGUAACCGACCCCAAAGACGAGGAUAACGGUUGGAAACGACCGCUAAAACUGGAUAGGACGGGAGAACAAAAGUUUUCUCGUUUAAAGGUCCUGCAAGGGACUGUUUUGGGACGGGCUUGCGGCGCAUUAGCUAGUUGGUGCGAUACUAGCCCACCAAGGCGACGAUGCGUAGCUGCGCUGAGAGGCGGAACAGCCAAACUGGGACUGAGACACGGCCCAGACUCCUACGGGAGGCAGCAGUAGGGAAUUUUCGGCAAUGGGGGGAACCCUGACCGAGCAAUGCCGCGUGAAUGAAGAAGGUCUUCGGAUUGUAAAAUUCUGUUAUCGGGAAAGAACACGUCUACCAGGAAAUGGGUAGGAGCUGACGGUACCCGAUGAGAAAGCCCCGGCUAACUACGU
rnacentral:rRNA from 1 species